UACGUAGGGGGCUAGCGUUGUCCGGAAUCAUUGGGCGUAAAGAGCGUGUAGGCGGUCCGGUAAGUCCGCUGUGAAAGUCGGGGGCUCAACCCUCGAAUGCCGGUGGAUACUGUCGGGCUAGAGUGCGGAAGAGGCGAGUGGAAUUCCUGGUGUAGCGGUGAAAUGCGCAGAUAUCAGGAGGAACACCUAUUGCGAAGGCAGCUCGCUGGAACGUAACUGACGCUGAGACGCGAAAGCGUGGGGAGCAAACAGG
rnacentral:rRNA from 1 species